rnacentral:misc_RNA from 1 species
UAAGUUGCCAAACGUUCUUCAAUCCACUUGAGAGUCCUCCGUCCGUUUCUCUGUUCACACACGCACUUGGUCUCGACUGUGUACGCACGCUGCCCUCUAAGCGUUCCGGGAUUCCCUUGCACUCUCCCCUUUUCUUCGGGCUUGGUUCUUCUCUGCCGUGAUAGUGCUCUGUGACGAGUGAGUGUGCGCCUGCUUUUCGGUGCCUUCGCGCAUUGUAUCUGCACAGAGAUCAUGUCUCGACUUCCCGGAGAACCACUGUCGGAGGCGGCGCAGCGUGAGCUGACGGCGCCAGACCGCCACCCGGAGGAUGGGGUGGUGAAUACGAAAACCAAAUCGCAACCGUCGGGUAUUACAGACCGUCAAGAUGACAAUCCCGAGUUGACAAAGAAGCCGCACGCAGAGGCGGACGACACCAACACAGGAGAGGCGAUGGACGAUGACGAUGCCGAGGCGGUUGCUGACAAGAAGCACUACUCGAAGUUUCGCCUGUGGUUUCAGAAGGUCGUGCCGCCGGGCGGUGUCAUCGCGAGCUCCUUCACCCUGGGCAGCUCCACUCUUGGCGCCGGUAUCCUUGGUCUGCCGGCCGCGUUCAACAGCAUGGGCUUUGUGACUGCGCUGCUUGUGCUCAUAUUGGUGACAGUGCUCACGAUCUUCUCUUUGUGGCUGCUGGCGCGGUGCUCCGACGCAUCGAAGGUUCGGACGUACGAGGAUGUGGCUCGUGUGCUGCUCGGCCGUGGCGCCGACUACGCGGCCGCUGUUUUCAUGCUCGGUUUCUGUCUCGGCGGCGCCGUCAGCUACAUCAUUUCCAUCGGUGACCUGCUCACUCCUAUCUUUGACGACCCUAGUGUGCCAGAGCUCCUGCGGACGAAGAUCGGCAACAGCAUCAUCACGUCCGCAGUGUGGCUCGUUGUCAUCCUACCCUUGUGCCUGCCCAAGAAUAUUGACUCCCUCCGGCACACGUCCAUCAUAAGCGUCACCAUGGUCGUGUUCUUUGUCAUCUGCAUUAUGCAAGACAGCUGCGAGUUCAUGGCGAAGAACGGGUGGCGCAAGGAUAUCAAGUUCUUCAACACUGGCAAUGGCGCCAUUCAGGGCCUGGGCACUGUCAUCUUCGCCUGCCUCGUCCAGAUCAACGCGCAGGAAGUCUACUAUGAGAUGGCGAAUCCGACGCCGCGAAACAUGGUGCGUAACAGCACCAUUGCUAUGAGCGGCUGCGGUCUCUUGUACGUUCUCGCUGGCGUGUUCGGCUGCGCGCGUUUCGGCUCCACGGUGAAGUCAUCCAUCCUGCUCAAGUACCAGCCGCGUGAGGCGCCGCAGUUCUGGUUCGCCUAUUUCGGCAUCGUCGUAAAGAUUUGCGUGGCCUUUGCGCUGCACCAGCUGCCGUUGCGCGACAGCGUCUACCACUUCUUCUCGUGGGACGUCUACCGCAUGCCCUGGUGGAGGAACGCCCUCAUUUGCGGCGGUAUCGCGGCAUUCGUGCUGGUCGUUGGCCUCCUAGUCCCGGACCUCAACAUAGUCCUCGGCCUCGUCGGCUCCCUCUGCGGCGGCUUCAUCGGCUUCAUCUUCCCAUCUCUCAUGAUCAUGUACGCGGGUAAAUGGAGCCUGAAGAAUGUGGGGUUGCUAGAGUGGUCGCUGACCUAUAUCCUCCUCCUUGUUGGCGUCGUCGCCGUCGUCUUUGGCACCUGCGCUUCCAUCUACUCGAUCGUCUGACUGUAAGGCUGAGGUGAUCAUGACCCAUUGGCGCUGCGGGAGGGGGAGGUGCCGGCUUGGAACUAGCGCUGCAGCCACCAUGUUCUUUGUGCGCGGUGUAGCGCAGAGUACUGUUACUGGCGCACGCAUUCGUGGAACGGCUUCUUCUAUAUACUUCACCAAGCACCUGUGGGCCUGUGUAGCCAGUGCUACUGGUUUGCGUAUCUGUGCCCGCGCCUGUCGCGUUGGGGUGCGUUUGUGUCUGCGCUUGCGGGGCGAACAAGGAGGACGCGGAGGCCGUUGCCGCACUUCGCACACACACACACACACACACACACAAGGACCGCGAUGCAUAUGCAUCCACGCCGGCGCACCCAGGUACCCGCACAGAAGGACAGAGAAACCUGCAGAAAGGCAAAAAAACGGGGGAAACCAGGAAAACAAGUGAAGCCCCUCCGUGUGGUCCGUCUGCCUGUUGCUGUCUGCUCCUCCCCGAUCCCGUCUCUCUCUUUCUCUGCUGCCUUCCUCCCUCCCCCACUUGCGAUUCUUUUUAUCUUAUUUGUUUGCGGCUGUCGUGUUUACGCUCUUUUCCUUGUUUGCCUUCGGCUACCUCGCUGCCCACCUCCCCUCCCCCUCCUCUUCUCGUGUGUGUGUGCUUUUCUUUUUGCCUUCCGUAAGUUUCCUUUUCUCCACGUCACACACUUUUGCGUGGCGGUGCGACUACGUGUGCGUUGGCUUGUGCUCGGCUGUCCUGCUUAUGUGAGGGCAUCGAUGUCAGCACACACGCGUGUCUCUCUCUGUCUGUGCAUUCUGGCAUCCCUUUCCUGUUCCCGCGUUGUAGUUACCAGAGGAGGUGUGACACCCGCGAUGGCACGUUGCCUCUGUGCUCCCUCCUCGCACCUCCACGUAGUGCUGCAAGCUUCUUUGCUCCACAUACUGCUCCCCUUCCUUUCGCAGCAAAGGUGCAUAUUUCAUAUGUAGGGAGGGGUCACGUAGAGGAGCGCAUGGUUCACAGCUGGGCGUCUUCUCUCUUCUUCUCUCCUCUUUUUUUUUCACUGUGUGCUAGGCCACUUUUCUAGCCUGUGGGUUGCCUUCUCCUGUGACGUUCGAGGAUGUGCGCAUCGGUGCGCUUCACGUGAUGGUGUGCUUCACUUAUCCUUUGGUUGGAUCAGAGAAGAUGGCGUCAUUGUGCUUGCCUUCUCGCUCCGACUUAAGGCGUGAUUCCGGACACCUCCGCCCUUCACAGCGUGAGCGCGCCGUGUUGUUCGUUUCGAGCUCUUACACAACGAAGGAUUUGACUCCGAGAACUGCAGCAGGAAAGCAAACGGUGAGAGAUGAAGCGCUCACGCAUUGCCGCACCUGUAUGUGUGUGCGUGUGUGUGGCAUGUGCUCGUCUUUGGUUGUGCAUCAAUACCCUCCUGCUGAGUGGUUGUAUGAACCCCCUCUCCUGCUCUGACCGUGUGCUCCUUCGACUUCUCUCUUCUCUAGACUAUUAUAUGCAUGUAUAUAUAUAUAUAUGUGUGUGUGUGUGUGUGUGUGUGCGUUUGGAUUCGCAUGCCAAGCGGAGAAGCGCCUAAGCGGGGGCACUUCAAGGAAUGGAGGCAUGCGAUGCGUUCCCAAUUCCCGUAUAUGUGAGACUACCAUCGCGAACACGCUUUCUCUGUCUGCGGCUUACAAUCCAUCCAGACGAGUCAUGGGGGAGGGAGGGAUCACUACCACGUGCUUCAACUGUUGCUGCUGCUAGCUAACAUGCAUGUACCAAUGCUUUGCACGUAGCUUCGUAUUGCAGCAACAUUGAGCAGCAUCUGCGUACCCCCUCUUUCCUACUCUCCCUCUUGCACAUAUGUACAGAAGCGGACAAACCGGCACAGGCGCAGCACCGACACGUUUUUUUACUACUCCCUGGAAAACAUAUAUGUAGAAAAUGAAAAACAGAAAAAAAAAACGAAGUUUUGAGAAGUGCAACGAAGACAGAACCGCCGAUAGAAGCGAUAUGCCGAUGCGAUAGGGGACACGCAAAGAGGGACCCUUCGAAUGUAGGAUGGCUUUGAAGAGGAAGCGCGGAAUGCCCCCUACCUCCUUUUCCCCAACUCGAUCGCGGUGCCGCCGGGCUCGUCAUUGCCUCCCCUCCACCGUACCCAUAGGCCCAACGACGCGCUACUUUCCCUCCUCCCCCCCGCCUGGCUGACUUCUGGCCAAUUAUGCGCCGAGAGCAGGGAGAAUGCGGGCUGUCGAGUUUGGUUGCUGCUGCUGUUGUCCAUGCUCUUUUUUCCUUUUCUUCCGUAUUCUUAUACCCUCCUUCUCCCCUUCUUUUUCAUGAUUUUUUUUCUUGUUUGUGUGGCUUUCCGACAAUUCGAGUUCUUUAUGUUUCUUCCUCAUCGUUUGUUCCGAUGCUUCCAUCAUCGCGGGGGAUCGUUUUCAUGGCUCUGCCCGAGACACGCAGCCGAUUUUCUUUUUUUUCUGGAUUUCAGCAAAGUUGUUUCCCUCUUCUCUUUUCAUAGUUCUCUCGCUUGGUUCUCUUUCAGCUGCUUGUCUCUCUUGUGUCUUUCUUCGUCUGUCAUCAGGCGUGUACGAUCAAACGCACACGCACACACACAGGCGAAAGCGCACAAAUGUGGGCAAACAGCCGCCAGCAUGUACUGGAAGAUAUAGAGCUGCUGCUGACAUGGAGAAAGUGUGUGUGUGCGCGCGCUAAUCCAUGUGGACAGUUGUGUACGUAUGUGUCACUUUCUGUGCAGGUAUGUGCGUACGUGAUGCCACCUUCUCAUACAGCAUGCUAGCCGUGCAUCUUUUUUUCCAUUUGCUUUGAUACCGAUAUUCUUAUAUAUGUAUGUCUCCCAGAGCCGCGUCUGAGCGUACCUGCUUUUCGUGUUGUAAGGCAGCGUACAACAGUUCGAAUGGCUUGUGUGAAAACG